rnacentral:rRNA from 1 species
GUUCUUAUGGAUCUCGUAAUUGGAAUGAGUACAAUUUAAAUCUCUUAACGAGGAACAAUUGGAGGGCAAGUCUGGUGCCAGCAGCCGCGGUAAUUCCAGCUCCAAUAGCGUAUAUUAAAGUUGUUGCAGUUAAAAAGCUCGUAGUUGAAUUUCGGGAUCAAUUUAUCGGUCGUGCCAAUGGUAUGAACUGGUACAAUUGGUUUCUCCCUUCUGACGAAGCAUGAUGUCAUUAAUUUGGUGUCGUGGGGAAUCAGGACUGUUACUUUGAAAAAAUUAGAGUGUUUAAAGCAAGCAUUAGCUUGAAUACAUUAGCAUGGAAUAAUGAAAUAGGACGUUUGAUCCUAUUUCGUUGGUUUCUAGGAUCGACGUAAUGAUUAAUAGGGAUAGUUGGGGGCAUUAGUAUUCAAUUGUCAGAGGUGAAAUUCUUGGAUUUAUUGAAGACUAACUACUGCGAAAGCAUUUGCCAAGGAUGUUUUCAUUAAUCAAGAACGAAAGUUAGGGGAUCGAAGACGAUCAGAUACCGUCGUAGUCUUAACCAUAAACUAUGCCGACUAGGGAUCGGAUGAUGUUAAUUUUUUAAUGACUCAUUCGGCGCCUUACGGGAAACCAAAGUGUUUGGGUUCCGGGGGGAGUAUGGUCGCAAGGCUGAAACUUAAAGGAAUUGACGGAAGGGCACCACCAGGGGUGGAGCCUGCGGCUUAAUUUGACACAACACGGGGAAACUCACCAGGUCCAGACAUAGUAAGGAUUGACAGAUUGAGAGCUCUUUCUUGAUUCUAUGGGUGGUGGUGCAUGGCCGUUCUUAGUUGGUGGAGUGAUUUGUCUGGUUAAUUCCGAUAACGAACGAGACCUUAACCUGCUAAAUAGCUAGGCUUAGCAUUGCUAGGUCGUCAGCUUCUUAGAGGGACUAUCGGUGUUUAACCGAUGGAAGUUUGAGGCAAUAACAGGUCUGUGAUGCCCUUAGAUGUUCUGGCCGCACGCGCGCUACACUGAUGAAGUCAACGAGUUCACUCCCUUUGUCGGAAGACAUGGGUAAUCUUUUGAAACUUCAUCGUGCUGGGGAUAGAGCAUUGCAAUUAUUGCUCUUAAACGAGGAAUCCCUAGUAAGUACAAGUCAUCAGCUUGUGCUGAUUACGUCCCUGCCCUUUGUACACACCGCCCGUCGCUACUACCGAUUGAAUGGCUUAGUGAGGACUUCGGAUUGAGCUUCGGAAGCUGUAAAAGGCAUCCGAUUUUUAAAAAGUUGUUCAAACUUGGUCAUUUAGAGGAAGUAAAAGUCGUAACAAGGUUUCCGUAGGUGAACCUGCGGAAG